UACAGGGGGUGCUAGCGUUGUUCGGAAUUACUGGGCGUAAAGGGCGCGUAGGCUGUUUCGUAAGUCAGAUGUGAAAUCCCCGGGCUUAACUCGGGACGUGCAUUUGAAACUGCGAGACUAGAGUGCAGUAGAGGUUGGUGGAAUUCCCAGUGUAGAGGUGAAAUUCGUAGAUAUUGGGAGGAACACCGGUGGCGAAGGCGGCCAACUGGGCUGCAACUGACGCUGAGGCGCAAAAGCGUGGGGAGCAAACGGG
rnacentral:rRNA from 1 species